ensembl:processed_transcript
UUAAACAUCACGAGGGCCGCAUACUUUAGGUUGUGCUUAGGUGGCGUGGACAACCACUGUACAACAUUUACUGGUCACAGCUGAAUCAGUUUAAAUUUCAACAAGCCGUCGUCUCAUUCAUCAACAACUGAGGAGACGCUAUUUUCACAUGGAGAAUGGUUUCAGCUGUUGAAUUCACCUCAGAUCAGUGUUGCUGUAAUUCCCGAUCUAUGGAAAGAAUAAUUGAAUGAGCGAGCAACGCCACAACUACAGGACCUCUUCUUUCUCUUCUCAUAAUUUAACUGGAUUAUCUGUUGAAUUUGUUUUUUUCCUCUGACAGCUUUCUCCAUACCAACAACUAUGCCUGGUCUUCAGCUGCGCUCCCCGGUCUGCUGUAUUCUCCAGUCCAGCUUCACUGCCCAGUGUCUGAAUUUUAAUUUAUAUAUUUAUUUAUAUAUAUAUAUUUACAUUUUAAUGAUUUCUUGUUUACUUUUCUUGUUUGCUUACCCUUUAGUUUAAUUAUAUAUAUAUAUAUAUGUAUAUAUAUAUAUAUAUAUAUAUAAUCUAAACUUUAUACUGUUUGUUUAUAAUUAGAUGUGUACUGUAUGUAUUAAAUGUUGUGAAAUAUAUAAUAAAAAGUUUGAUUAUA